ACUGAAAUAACAACACACAAAAUAAAAAAUCCCAAAUAAACCCUUUGUCUUUUCAUCUUCCUUUUCCACUCUCCAACACUCCACUACAUUCAUUCCUUCUUUUAUUUUUUAUUCUCUGAAAACUGCUGCAAAACCCAUUAAACCCAACAAAAAAACACAAAAACAUUAUCGAAUCCAAUGUUGUCAUCACCCAUUCUUGUCUCUUCAGCUCUCAUCCUCUCUCUCCUUCUCCUCUUCUUUCUCUCUCAACAAAUCAUCUUCCAAAUUUACUCCCCUUUCUCCUCAUCCUCCUCCACCCCCGCCGCCGUCUCCGCCGCCGACCUCUCCCUCUUCCACCGCGCCACCCACACAACAAACCACCUAUCCACCCUCACAAACCCUAAACCCAAAAUCGCUUUCCUCUUCCUCACAAACUCAAACCUCUCCUUCGCACCUUUAUGGGAAAAAUUCUUCGCUGGUAACAACCAUCUCUUCAACAUCUACAUCCACGCAGACCCCACUUCCUCCGUCGCCUCACCCGGCGGAGUUUUCCAUAACCGUUUCAUCUCUUCUCAAAUAACCCAGCGGGCCUCCCCAACACUCAUCUCGGCAGCCAGACGUCUGCUAGCGUCUGCCCUCUUAGAUGAUCCGCUCAAUCAAUACUUUACCUUAAUUUCCCAACACUGUAUCCCGCUGUUGUCGUUUCGAUUCGUUUAUAACUCUCUUUUUACCAAUCAGUUAAAGUUAUUAGAGAGUUUUGCUAACUAUAAUAACUUUACAUACCCAUACCCCAGCUUCAUUGAGAUUCUCUCUGAGGAUCCCAAUCUCAAUGACAGAUAUAAUGCUCGCGGUGAGAAUGCAUUGUUGCCGGAAAUUGUGUUCGAGGAUUUUCGCGUGGGUUCACAGUUCUUCACGCUGAACCGGAAACAUGCAAGGUUUGUGGUGGGAGAACAAAAACUAUGGAGGAAAUUUCAGAUUCCUUGUAUAAAUGUGUAUUCAUGUUAUCCAGAAGAACAUUACUUUCCAACUCUUUUGUCAAUGGAGGAUCCAAAUGGCUGCACUGGUUUUACACUUACUAGAGUUAACUGGACUGAUUGUUGGGAUGGGCAUCCCCAUCUUUAUACUCCGGCCGAGGUUUCUCCGGAGCUUGUUCGUCAGCUGAGGCGAUCCAAUUCAAGCUACUCGUAUUUCUUUGCGAGGAAAUUCUCGCCGGAAUGUCUUGAGCCGUUGAUGGAUAUAGCUGAUGAAGUCAUUUUCAAGGAUUGAAGCUUUCUUGAUUGCACCACUUCAUGCAAGUACACUUUCGGGUGGUUAGUGUUGCAAGAUAGAUAAAGUACUAAGUCUUUUUGGGCUACUUUUGGCAAAAUCGUAGUGAUUUUGGCAAAACUUAUACUUAGAAUUACAACAAAAUCACGGUUUCAGCCUACUAUAAAAAGAAAAACGCAAGAUUGAUUUCGGCAAGAGAAAAACCCUUGUUGGUGAACACUGCCAGUGUUUAGUUCAUGUGUAUAGAAAAUCUAGUUUCUCUGCAACUGUAAAGUUUAGUUAUAAUUUCUUCAAUGUGAAUGUAGGUUUUAGUUAUAGAAAAGCUGGUUUCCGAAGGAGGCCACAAUAGAAAACAUACAAUAUCUUAGUUUUUUGUGUCUAAUCUUUUGAUUUAAGCUUUUAAUGUGAAAUUUAAGAAUCAUAUAAAUUUUUUACCUCGAUA